rnacentral:rRNA from 1 species
UACGGGGGGAGCAAGCGUUGUUCGGAUUUACUGGGCGUAAAGGGCGCGUAGGCGGCCACCGCAAGUCGGUUGUGAAAUCUCUGGGCUUAACCCAGAAAGGUCAACCGAUACUGCGGGGCUAGAGGGCAGAAGGGGCAACUGGAAUUCUCGGUGUAGCGGUGAAAUGCGUAGAUAUCGAGAGGAACACCUGCGGCGAAGGCGGGUUGCUGGGCUGACACUGACGCUGAAGCGCGAAAGCUAGGGGAGCGAACGGG